GAUGAACGCUAGCGGCAGGCUUAAUACAUGCAAGUCGUGGGGCAGCAUGAAGUAGCAAUACUUUGAUGGCGACCGGCAAACGGGUGCGGAACACGUACACAACCUUCCUUUUAGUGGGGAAUAGCCCAGAGAAAUUUGGAUUAAUACCCCGUAACAUAGCGAUGUGGCAUCACAUUGCUAUUAUAGCUUCGGCGCUAGAUGAUGGGUGUGCGUAUGAUUAGAUAGUGGGCGAGGUAACGGCUCACCAAGUCUACGAUCAUUAGCUGAUGUGAGAGCAUGAUCAGCCACACGGGCACUGAGACACGGGCCCGACUCCUACGGGAGGCAGCAGUAAGGAAAAUUGGUCAAUGGACGAAAGUCUGAACCAGCCAUGCCGCGUGAAGGAUUAAGGUCCUCUGGAUUGUAAACUUCUUUUAUAUGGGACGAAAAAAGGUCUUUCUAGAUCACUUGACGGUACCAUAUGAAUAAGCACCGGCUAACUCCGUGCCAGCCGCCGCCGUAAGAC
rnacentral:rRNA from 1 species